UAAGCUAACAGUUGUAGUUAAUUCAGAUUUAAAUAACUAAUGAGUUCACGAAUUUUGGUCACUAUUUGGUAUUCGACCAUUUGGCUACUUUUUUUACUAUUCAACCGAACAUUGCGAACUUUACUAUUCAGCCGAACAUUUUUUCUUACGAAGUCGAGAUAAAUUAUCACCGGUGCUACUAGAUACCGGUGACUAUUCAUCUAUGUCAAAUAGCCAUUCACUGACUUAAUCUUUCUCUAACGUGCAUAUUUUUUGAUUCAUGCUUCAGUUGGUUUAUUAUUUGUCCUAAAAGAAACUUAGUAUUGAAUAGGGUUGUAAAAAUUCGAUCAAACGAUAUUUAGUAAUAUAGCUGGAGGUAAAGGUCACUGGACUGUUGCUCAUAAAAUGUAAGCUGUCAAUCUAAAUAAUCAAGGUAAAACUUUUUGCCAGGAGCAGGAAGAGACUGGAAUUCCUCAUAAUACAGUAUCCGACAUAAUGAAGAAGUAUAUAAUUUGAUCGGAACAACAGCCACAAUUGACGAACAGGGUCACAAAAAGAAGAAUUCUUUAUGGGACCAGCUUUAUUUAAUUUUUUUUCAUCUAAUAAUAAUUUCAAACCUACUUUUACUGUAAUUGUAGGAUCCUAGUUUAUAUAUACUUUGUUUUUAUAUUUUUCUUCGUUUAAGUUAUCAUUUUCUUGCAA